AUUGAACGCUGGUGGCAGGCCUAACACAUGCAAGUUGAACGAGUGGCGGACGGGUGAGUAAUGUCUGGGAAACUGCCUGAUGGACGGGGAUAACUACUGGAAACGGUAGCUAAUACCGCUUACCAUCGGAUGUGCCCAGAUGGGGUUGGCUAGUAGGUGGGGUAAAGGCUCACCUAGUCGACGAUCCCUACCUGGUCUGAGAGGAUGACCAGCCACCUUGGAACUGGGACACGGUCCAGACUCCUACGGGAGGCAGCCUGGGGUAAUAUUGCACACUGGGCGCAGGCCUGAUGAAGCCAUGCCGCGUGUGUGAAAGGAACCUUCGGGUUGUAAAGUACUUUCAACGGGGAGACGUUACCCGCAGAGGAAGCACCGGCUAAAGCCGUGCCAGCAGCCGCGGUGAUUC
rnacentral:rRNA from 1 species